GUACCUAUGGUGUAGUGGUCAUCACGCCAGACUUUGAAUCUGGAGAUCGCGAGUUCAAACCUCGCUAGGUACU